rnacentral:tRNA from 1 species
GUUGUGGCUCAGUGGUAGAGCACUUGCUUAGCAUGUGUGAGGCACUGGGUUCAAUCCUCAGCACCACA